GACAAGGUUUCCGUAGGUGAACCUGCGGAAGGAUCAUUG
rnacentral:rRNA from 1 species